CCCUGGCUGGCUCAGUUGAUAGAGCACGAGACUCUCAAUCUCAGUGUUGUGAGUUCCAGCCUCAUGUUGGGUA
rnacentral:tRNA from 1 species